CGUCUCUCUUCUUUCCCCCACCGAAACCACCUCAUGCCCUAACUGCUCUCUCCCAACAAGCGUGCUACCAAAACCGCCGCUCCCCCGACGCAUCCCAUCUUAUCCUCUCCUCUUCCGAGCUUUUCCCCUCCCUCGUGCCCUAAUCUCUGCUCUACUGCCGUACACCUACCUUUCCUCUUCCACUCCGCCAAGCAACGGCGUUGAUCGUCGGCACAUGAGCACCCUUCGUUUUUUCUCUCGUCUUUGCCCGACGGCGUAGCUGAGCGCCGGCCACCAGGUCUGGUACCAGUCGCUUGUGCCCUAGCUAACCACCGACGCUCGUCGCCCCUCGCUGUGGAGGUCCCAAUGGCGCCGCCGACCUCCCCUGUGCCCUAGCGCUACUGUUUCCCUAUGCCCUAGCGACGACAGCCGGCCGUUAGCGCCCCUUUCCGGCGCCUCCUUCCUUCCGAGCAAUGCAGAUUUGACCUAGGGCUCAAGUUCACCUGCAUAUCUCUCCUCUUUGCCCGAUUCAGUCACAUAAGUCCUCUGUGAUAGUGCUGAUUUAGGGUUUCCGGUGGCCGGAUUGGAGAUUUAAGGCUUGGUCAGUGAUUACAGCUCCGAUCAUCUUUGUGCGUGGGUGAUCCACAACUCUGGGCAUAAACUUACUUUGGAUCAAGAAACGGCAGUGAGGUGAAUUAAGGACUUUGACGCGAGACGAGUAUCUCGACGUCGGAUUUGGACCGGAUACGAUCCUUUCUUAUUGGAGGCAGGUUGAUGCUGUCCGGAGAGUUCCAGUCGCUAGUCCCCUGAAGACCCAGAGUUAUUUGAUCUUUUUGUUAUGUCUCUUAUUGCACUAUUUGGACUUGUAUUAGUUUACCUUAUGGAUACUGUCGAUGAGCUUAUUUGGAUUUGUUUUACUACACGCCUGCCUAGACGGCAGAAGACGUAAGUUGAUUUUAUCGUCAGAUUUGAGCUUUAUGAGUGUAAUGGAGUAGGACAUCAGUUUUGUGCUUUAUGA